rnacentral:misc_RNA from 1 species
CUCUCUCUCUCUCUUUCUCUCUCGCUCGCUCGCUUGCUUUCUGGGUAUGUGUGUGUAUAUGAGAUUGAUCUUUGAUUGUGGUUUGAGUGUAGUUUUUAUGGUGGGAUGUCAUCUCUCGGCGCACAAAUGCUGUCUCCAUUGGAAAGUGGACACAGGGUUUGGGAGGAUCCGUCAUUUAUAAAGUGGAGAAAGAGAGAUCCUCAUGUCACUUUACACUGCCAUGAAUCUGUUGGAGGAUCUCUUAAAUACUGGUACGAGCGAAAUAAAGUGGAUGUUUUGGUAUCCAAGUCUGCUGUUUGGAAUGAUGACGCUGUUCAAGGAGCUCUUGAUUCUGCUGCUUUUUGGGCUAAGGACUUGCCUUUUGUCAAGUCUUUGUCUGGGUUUUGGAAAUUUUUUUUGGCUCCAAGCCCUACCAAAAUUCCUAUGAAAUUUUAUGACCCGGCAUUUCAGGACUCUGGGUGGGAAACUUUGCCAGUUCCUUCAAAUUGGCAGACACAUGGGUUUGAUCGUCCCAUUUAUACCAAUGUGGUAUAUCCAUUUCCACUUGAUCCUCCACACGUUCCUGAGGAUAAUCCUACUGGCUGCUAUAGAACAUGCUUCCAAAUUCCUAAAGAAUGGCAGGGUCGUAGGAUUUUACUGCACUUUGAAGCUGUUGAUUCUGCAUUUUGUGCUUGGAUAAAUGGUGUGCCUGUGGGAUAUAGUCAGGAUAGUAGGCUACCUGCAGAGUUUGAAAUCACAGAUUACUGUUAUCCAUAUAAUUCCGGCAAAAAUAAUGUUCUGGCUGUUCAAGUUCUAAGAUGGUGUGAUGGGUCUUACCUUGAAGAUCAAGAUCAUUGGUGGUUAUCUGGUAUCCAUCGUGAUGUGCUGCUUCUUGCCAAGCCACAGGUAUUUAUCACAGACUACUUUUUCAAGUCAAACCUGGCUGAAAAUUUUACUUCUGCAGACAUACAGGUUGAAGUGCAAAUAGAUAGCACCCGAGAAAUACCUAAAGACAAAAUUUUUGGCAACUUCAUCAUAGAAGGUGCAUUAUAUGACACUGGAAGCUGGUACAGUAGUGAUGGAUCUGCUGAUCUUCUUUCCUCGAAGGUGGCUGACAUAGCACUUAAUCCCUCCUUUGAUCCAAUUCUGGGAUUUCUUGGUUAUGUGCUAGUGGGGAAACUAGAAAAGCCGAAGCUUUGGUCUGCAGAGCAACCGAACCUUUACAUUCUUGUUCUCACCCUCAAAGAUGCAUCUGGGCAUAUGGUUGACUGUGAAUCAUGCCUAGUAGGCAUAAGACAGGUGUCAAAGGCACCUAAACAGCUGCUUGUUAAUGGUUGUCCAGUUAUAAUAAGAGGAGUGAACAGACAUGAGCAUCAUCCACGUGUUGGGAAGACAAACAUAGAGUCCUGCAUGGUGAAGGAUCUGGUUUUAAUGAAGCAAAACAACAUCAAUGCUGUUAGAAACAGUCAUUACCCCCAGCAUCCCCGUUGGUAUGAGUUGUGUGAUGUUUUUGGCAUGUACAUGAUAGAUGAAGCCAACAUUGAGACACAUGGUUUUCAUCUUUGUGGGCAUCUAAAGCAUCCUACUUCAGAACAAAGUUGGGCUACUGCAAUGACUGAUCGUGUGAUAGGGAUGGUGGAGAGAGAUAAAAAUCAUGCAUGCAUAAUUUCUUGGUCUUUAGGAAAUGAGUCCUCAUAUGGACCUAAUCAUUCUGCUGCAGCAGGUUGGGUUCGUGGAAAGGAUACCUCUCGGUUAUUGCACUAUGAAGGUGGUGGAUCCAGAACUACAUCUACAGACAUCAUAUGCCCCAUGUAUAUGCGUGUCUGGGACAUAGUGAAGAUUGCAAAAGAUCUGACAGAACCACGUCCUUUAAUAUUGUGCGAGUAUUCACAUUCAAUGGGAAACAGCAGUGGAAAUAUAGAUGAAUAUUGGGAAGCAAUUGAUGGCACAUUUGGUCUCCAAGGAGGCUUCAUCUGGGAUUGGGUUGACCAGGGGUUGUUGAAGGAAAGCUCAGAUGGUAGUAAGCAUUGGGCUUAUGGAGGUGACUUUGGGGAUACCCCUAAUGAUUUGAACUUCUGUCUGAAUGGUCUUACAUGGCCGGAUAGAACUCCGCAUCCUGCCUUGCAUGAAGUCAAGUAUGUGUACCAAGCAAUCAAGGUUUCCCUCCAGGAAAGCACAAUUAAGAUAACCAACACUCACUUUUUUGAAACAACCCAAGGACUGGAGUUUAGCUGGGCUGCCCAUGGUGAUGGAUAUGAACUUGGUUCAGGAAUUCUAUCACUUCCACUUAUAAAACCCCAGAGCAGUUAUGAUAUAGAAUGGGAGUUGGGCCCAUGGCAUCCUAUGUGGGCUUCAUCUUCUGCUGGAGAAAUUUUUUUAACAAUCACUGCUAAGCUUUUGCAUUCAACACGCUGGGUUGAGGCUGGUCAUGUUAUCUCCUCUACACAAGUGCAGUUGCCUCCGAGAAAUCAGAUAACCCCUUAUGUUAUUAAAGCUGCAGAUGCUACAUUGUCUACUGAAACUAUUGAUGAUACAGUUAGAGUCAGCCAGCAGAAAUUUUGGGAGAUAACGUUUAAUAUUCAAACAGGAACUAUUGAAAGCUGGAAGGUUGAAGGAGUCCCUGUUAUGAAUAAAGGCAUAUCCCCAUGCUUCUGGCGAGCACCUACGGAUAAUGAUAAAGGAGGAGAUGAAAAUAGCUAUUACUCCAGAUGGAAAGCGGCUCGCAUUGAUAACCUUAAAUUUGAAACAAGAAGCUGUACCAUACAGAAUACAACUGAUCAUCUUGUGAAAAUGGAGGUGGUUUAUGUUGGUAUCCCAGGGGAUGAGGAUAGUUCCUCUGCUCAAAAUGCUUUAUUCAAAGUAGAUAUGAUAUACACAAUUUUUGGUUCUGGGGACUUGGUUAUUGAGUGCAGUGUCACUCCAAGCUCUGAUCUUCCUCCUUUGCCACGUGUGGGAGUUGAAUUUAGCUUGGAAAAAUCAAUGGCCCAGAUUAAAUGGUAUGGAAGAGGGCCAUUUGAGUGUUAUCCAGAUAGGAAAGCAGCAGCCCAUGUUGGGAUCUAUGAGAAGAAUGUGCGUGACAUGCAUGUUCCUUAUAUUGUUCCUGGGGAAUGUUCUGGUAGGGCAGAUAUUAGAUGGGUGACAUUUCAGGACAAGGAUGGAAUAGGAAUUUUUGCUUCAACAUAUGGCAGCUCUCCACCUAUGCAAAUGAGUGCUAGUUACUAUUCCAAAGCGGAGCUUGACCGGGCAAGACAUAAUAAAGACCUUCAAGGAAACGACAUUGAGGUUCAUCUGGAUCACAAACAUAUGGGUGUAGGUGGAGAUGAUAGCUGGACGCCUAGUGUCCAUGACAAGUAUCUGGUUCCUGCAGUACCAUACUCCUUCUCUAUCAGGUUAUGUCCAAUAACUGCGGCCACCACUGGCCUGCAGAUCUACGAAUCCCAAAUUCAAAACUAGGUGCAUCUUCUUGUUUUGCUUCACUUAAAUAAUGAUGAGCAUGUGUUCAUGCAUAAGAUGUUACUACAGAGAUCAUAUCUGGUUUCAUUAGGUUGGCCCUUAAUGAACUAAUGUUUAGAAAGUAACCUUAGUUCUGUAUCAAUGGCAUGCAUUCCGGUUAAUCUAUGUGAGCUUUGUUGGCAAUGGAAAACUAGUUCAGUGAAAUUUUACACAUUCACAAACAAAUGAAAAUGUGCAAUUACACAUUCAUAAGACUAGUUGGAAAAGAUGAUCAAUCUUGUAUUGAGAACUGGGCCUUUUUCUUCCCAGUUUUCAUUAGCUGAUUAAAAAGAAAGGAGGAGAAAGUUAA